AGUCGAGCGGUAAGGCCCUUCGGGGUACACGAGCGGCGAACGGGUGAGUAACACGUGGGUGAUCUGCCCUGUACUUCGGGAUUUGCCUGGAGAAACUGGGUCUAAUACCGGAUAUGACCUUGGACUGCAUGGUCUUUGGUGGAACAGAUUUAUCGGUACAGGAUGGGCCCGCGGCCUAUCAGCUUGUUGGUGGGGUAAUGGCCUACMAAGGSGACGACGGGUCAGCCGGCCUUAGAGAGAGGCCGACCCCGGCCCACACAUGGGUACUGAGACACGGGCCCAGAAAUCUCUCUUACGGGAGGCACGCAGUGGGGAAUAUUUGCACAAUUGGGCGAAAGCCCUUGAUGCAGCGAACGGCCGUCGUGAGGGAAUGACGGCUCUUCGGUGUUGUAACACCUCUUUCGAACAGGGACGAAGCGCAAGUGUAGCGGUUACCUGUAGAAGAAGCACCGGCCAAUCUAACGUGCCAGCAGCCGCGGAUAAUACGUAGGGGUGCRAGCUGUUGUCCGGAAUUACUGGGCGUAAAGAGCUUGUAGGCGGUUCGUCGUCGUCGUUCGUAAAAAUCUUGGGKCUCAACCCACAAGCUUGCGGGCGAUACGGGCGGACUAGUAGUACUUCAGGGGAGACUGGAAUUCCUGGUGUAGCGGUGAAAUGCGCAGAUAUCAAGGAGGAACACCGGUGGCAAAGGCGGGUCUCUGAGAAAGUAACUGACGCUGAGAAGAGAAAGCGUGGGUAGAGCACAGUAUGAGAUACCGSUGGUAGUACAUGCUGUAAACUGUGUGUACUAGGUGUGUGUCUCUUUACAGGGUAUCCGUGCUAUAGAUAACGCAUUGUGUACCCCGCGUGGAGAGUACGGCCGCAAAGUAUAAAACUCAAAAGUAUUGACGGGGGCSCGCACRAGCGGCRGAGCAUGUGGAUUAUUUAGAUGCAACGAGAAGCACCUCACCUGUGUUUGACAUACCACCGGACACGUGCAGAGAUGUAGGCCCCCUUGUUGUCGGUGGUACAGGUGAUGCAUGGGCUGUYGUCAGCUUCGUGCUUGUGAGAUUUUGGGUUAAGUCCCGCAAACGAGGCGCACCCUUUAUCUUUAUGUCGCCCACGCGUGUAAKGGGGGGGACUCUGUGAGAGACCUGGCGGGGAUCAACUCGGGGGAAGGUUGGGGAAGAUGUUCAAGUUAUCAUGCCCCCUUUAUGUCCAGGGCUUUCACACCGUGAUACAAUGGCCGGUACAGAGGGGUGAGAUACCGUGAGGUGGAGAGAAUCCCUUAAAGCCGGUCUCAUUUCGGAUCGGGGUGUGCAACUAGACCCCGAGAAGUUGGAGUCGCUAGUAAUCGCAUAUCAGAAACGGUGCGGUGAAUACGUUCCCGCGCCUUGUACACACCCCCCGUCACGUCAUGAAAGUCGGUAACACCAGAAGCCGGCGCCUAACCUUUGGGAGGGAGCCGUCGAAGGUG
rnacentral:rRNA from 1 species